CUUAUCUACGUGCAAGGAAACAUUGUCAACCCUUAAAGUCAUGCAGGGGCAAGGAGGCUAUCCACAACUAGAACUGGACAUAGCUCACCUUGAAAAGGAAAUUGAGUUAUAUUCACUGGAGAAGCUGUGUUAUGAAGCUCAAAUGAUGGUAUGGUAAAUGAGAAGGCUCCAUCUCCUUUUCAAAUAGGAAAUUGCUUCACAUCUGGGCUUUCCUGAUGGUUCUGUAAGCCACCAUGGUCUGGAUGUUGAUGUUAAUAGUGUGUUAUUAAUGGCUGACAUUGUUCUUUAUGGUUCCUUUGAAGUACCCAUCAUUGCUCCUGACUUGGCUAGCAUAAAAAGAUAUGAGGCAGCCAUGAUACGAUUGGAUAUGAGUGAAUAUAUAGAGCGGCAAAGAAAGUAGUUGGCAAGAUUAAAGUGGAAGGUUAGUUUUCAAUGGUAUAAACCGAAUGUGGGUGCUAAUUGAUGAAUUUUUAGGGAUUCUAUGCCCACUUUUUAGUCUUAAGCACAACCUGUGAAGUGAUAUGAGCUUAGCUAUAGGAACUUUCUGCUCAAGAUGCCACUCCUGCUUCCUUUCCCAUUCGAAGUUGUGAUGCUGCUACAAUUUUCUUUUUUCUAAGAAUUUCAACCAUUGUGGUAUUGGAUGCUCCAGGCCUGGUCAUAUGGAGAACUUUGUCUUGGUUUUUAAUUAAUUGUGGGCUUUUCUAUCAUAUUACUG